UACGAAGGGGGCUAGCGUUGCUCGGAAUCACUGGGCGUAAAGCGCACGUAGGCGGACUCUUAAGUCGGUGGUGAAAUCCUGGAGCUCAACUCUGGAACUGCCUUUGAUACUGUCGAUCUGGAGUAUGGAAGAGGUGAGUGGAAUUCCGAGUGUAGAGGUGAAAUUCGUAGAUAUUCGGAGGAACACCAGUGGCGAAGGCGGCUCACUGGUCCAUUACUGACGCUGAGGUGCGAAAGCGUGGGGAGCAAACAGG
rnacentral:rRNA from 1 species